rnacentral:sRNA from 1 species
CGGAUGCUAACGCAAUGUGAU